rnacentral:rRNA from 1 species
UGAGGAAUAUUGGUCAAUGGGCGAGAGCCUGAACCAGCCAAGUAGCGUGCAGGAUGACGGCCCUAUGGGUUGUAAACUGCUUUUAUAUGGGAAUAAAGUGAGGGACGUGUCCCUUAUUGCAUGUACCAUACGAAUAAGGACCGGCUAAUUCCGUGCCAGCAGCCGCGGUAAUACGGAAGGUCCAGGCGUUAUCCGGAUUUAUUGGGUUUAAAGGGAGCGUAGGCUGUUUGUUAAGCGUGUUGUGAAAUGUAGGAGCUCAACUUUUAGAUUGCAGCGCGAACUGGCAGACUUGAGUGCGCACAACGUAGGCGGAAUUCAUGGUGUAGCGGUGAAAUGCUUAGAUAUCAUGACGAACUCCGAUUGCGAAGGCAGCUUACGGGGGCGCAACUGACUCUAAAGCUCGAAGGUGCGGGUAUCGAACAGG